rnacentral:rRNA from 1 species
UAUGACGGUACCCUUUCGAAUAAGAGGUUGCUAACUCUGUGCCAGCAGCAGCGGUAAUACAGAGACCUCGAGCGUUAUCCGGAUUUACUGGGCGUAAAGCGUCUGUAGGGGGUUUGUUAAGUUCCAAGUAAAAUCUUAAGGCUCAACUUUAAGUUCGCUUGGAAAACUAAUAAACUGGAGUCCAGCAGAGGUGCAUGGAACUUGCGGUGUAGGAGUGAAAUCCGUUGAUAUCGCAAGGAACACCAAAGGCGAAGGCAUUGCACUGGGCUGGUACUGACCCUGAGAGACGAAAGCGUGGGGAGCAAAACGGAUUAGAUACCCGUGUAGUCCACGCCGUAAACGAUGGAUACUAGAUGUUCGGGGAUUCGACCCCCUGGGUGUCACAGCUAACGCGUUAAGUAUCCCGCCUGGGAAGUACGGCCGCAAGGCUAAAACUCAAAGGAAUAGACGGGGAUCCGCACAAGCGGUGGAGCGUCUGGUUUAAUUUGAUAGUAAGCAAUGGACCUCACCAAGGUUUGACAUCCUAUGACAACCCUGGAAACAGGGCUUCCUUCGGGCAUAGUGACAGGUGCUGCAUGGUCGUCGUCAGUUCAUGCCGUGAGGUGUUCCGUUAAGUCGGGAAACGAACGAAACCCUCGUCGCAUGUUACAAAUUUCAUGCGAGACUGCCCGGGUCAACCGGGAGGAAGGCGGGGAUGACGUCAGAUCAGCAUGGCCCUUAUACCUUGGGCUACACAGGCGCUACAAUGGCCGGUACAAAGGGUUGCAAAACCGCGAGGUGAAGCUAAUCCCAUAAAGCUGGUCCAAGUUCGGAUUGGAGGCUGCAACUCGCCUCCAUGAAGUUGGAAUCGCUAGUAAUCGUGGAUCAGCCAUACCACGGUGAAUACGUUCCCGGAUCUUGUACUCACCGCCCGUCACACCAAGAGAGUUGGUAGC